AGAGUUUGAUCAUGGCUCAGGAUGAACGCUAGCGGCAGGCCUAAUACAUGCAAGUCGAACGGUCAGCAAUGACAGUGGCGCACGGGUGCGUAACGCGUAUGCAACCUACCCAUCAAAGGGGGAUAGCCCGGGGAAACCCGGAUUAAUACCGCAUAAGAUAGUAUUCUGGCAUCAGAGAGCUAUUAAACAUUUAUGGUUGAUGGAUGGGCAUGCGUUAGAUUAGCUAGUUGGUGUAGUAACGGUGCACCAAGGCAAUGAUCUAUAGGGGUUCUGAGAGGAAGAUCCCCCACACUGGUACUGAGAUACGGACCAGACUCCUACGGGAGGCAGCAGUAGGGAAUAUUGGGCAAUGCUCGCAAGAGUGACCCAGCCAUGCCGCGUGCAGGAAGAAGGCCUUCUGGGUUGUAAACUGCUUUUGGAAGGGAACAAAAUGGGCAUGCGUGCCAACUUGAGUGUACCUUCAGAAUAAGCACCGGCUAACUCCGUGCCAGCAGCCGCGGUAAUACGGAGGGUGCAAGCGUUGUCCGGAUUUAUUGGGUUUAAAGGGUGCGUAGGCGGCUUAUUAAGUCAGGGGUGAAAGACUAUUGCUUAACAAUGGCAGUGCCUUUGAUACUGAUAGGCUUGAGUACAGCUGAGGCAGGUGGAACGGGUGGUGUAGCGGUGAAAUGCAUAGAUACCAUCCAGAACACCGAUUGCGAAGGCAGUCUGCUAAACUGUAACUGACGCUGAGGCACGAAAGCGUGGGGAUCGAACAGGAUUAGAUACCCUAGUAGUCC
rnacentral:rRNA from 1 species